ACUUGUUUGAAGAGGUGGCAAGCUAAGCCUCCUGUGACUCAUCUUUGCUGGUCCUUGGGCCAGGGAGGGAAGGCUGGAACCAGCAGCAGAAGCAGACGGGUGAGGCCAUUCCUGGGGAGCCCCGGCCAGGGGUCUCUGGGGAAGGAGAGCCAGGCCAGGUGCCCGAGGUCUGGGAGCUGGUCGCCCAUGAUGACUAGGGCCUGAACAGGCAGAGAUGAGCCUGGCAGGUGUCGCCCCAGGGCCAGCGUCCAUUGCCUUCCCACAUCAGGAGGGCCUCGAGGAGGAGAGCACUCAGGAGCGAGGUGGGCGGCAGGGCAUCCAGGACAAAACCCCCCACACUGCACAGAGAGAGAGGUGGGGAGCAGGAGGGAGGAACAGGAGAGCCCCGCCCUGGACGUCAGAGACCACAACCACGGCUCACUUCCGGGAAGGUCUCUGGGACUAAUUGUGACCUUAGGCAGGAAAGCGUCCAGGUGAUCCGGUCUAACGUGCUGGAACUCAGAACCAUUCAACCAUCUCUGCAGACCCCAGACCACAGUCCACAGGCUUCUGAGGCCAGCUCCCCACUCACUCUUCAGCAUCAGCUCCCCCGCUCCCCUGGGAACUUCCAAGACACCCAGGCCUUGAACGUGUCUGGUCCCCCGGGGCCUGGUGCCAGCUGCUUCCCCGAGGACUCCUCCUGCAGAGGCUGCGUGGCCGGCUGCCUCUCGUCCUCCCUGCUCUGCUUGCAGCGAGGCCCUUCCUAACGCCUCCACCCUCCUCAGGCCUCCCUCCCC
rnacentral:lncRNA from 1 species